rnacentral:rRNA from 1 species
AUACGGAGGGGGCUAGCGUUGUUCGGAAUUACUGGGCGUAAAGCGCACGUAGGCGGACUGGUCAGUUGGGGGUGAAAUCCCAGGGCUUAACCCUGGAACUGCCUUCAAUACUACCAGUCUUGAGACCGAGAGAGGUGAGUGGAAUUCCUAGUGUAGAGGUGAAAUUCGUAGAUAUUAGGAAGAACACCAGUGGCGAAGGCGGCUCACUGGCUCGGUACUGACGCUGAGGUGCGAAAGCGUGGGGAGCAAACAGGAUUAGAUACCCCGGUAGUCC